AGGUGAGAUCAAGCAACUUCA
rnacentral:siRNA from 1 species